rnacentral:lncRNA from 1 species
UAGGAUCAGCUUAAUUGUUUGCUACAUUAAGUUCUGAGGAACUGCAGUUAUAUAGGUGUCUGACUGGUAACUAGAUCAAGCUAUUGAUCAGCAACCCUGACAAUGGAGAAACAGGUUUUCACAUGAAGAGUUUCUCUAAAAGGCAAGUUCGGAAGCCAGCUCCUGGGAAAUGGUAAUGGAUGACCAUCACUGGGUUGUGGCAUGGAAGCCAUGCUCAUUGAAUUGCAUUUCAGUGUUUAUGCACCUUUAAAGCUUGCACUAAAUUACACAAGUUAUUUAAAUACAUUCUUUAAUAUUUAUGCUUUGUUGUUUUAAUAAAGACUUCUAUUUUUAAAUAAAAAUGCAUAAUUAAGUGGAACAGAAUAAUGAAUAUUUAAUGAUCAACUAUUAUGUGCCUGACCCUGUGUUAAGUUCUG